AGUGAUUAAGUGAUUCAACCAUAUAGUUUUACACUAUGUUUGGAUCAUGGUUCCUCGUAGUUUCAUCUCUCCUAGUUCUCCUAAUUCUUGAAAAAGGGUGAUUUUAAGUUAUAAAAUGAUAGUUUCUUAACCAUCAUUUUACCACAAGUUUUCAAACCACCAAAUUCAUCUUUUAAAAUUUUUAUAUUCACAUUUUAUCCUUACACAAUUUAUAAAAUUUCAAUUAUAUCUUUUUCCUUUUAAUUUUCAUAAACUCUUUCUUAUCCCUUAUCUUUCGUAAAGAGUAUUUUUGUAACAUUUAUAUUUAUUUUAAUAUACCUAACAAAAAAACAAUAUUAAACCAUUCUAUAAAAAUCAUACCAUAUGAUACAAUAUGAUACUAUACAUUAUUAAACCACCUUGUACUUCAUCCUCCAAACAUUGUGCAAGAGUCAAAUAGAACAUUGCAGAGAUUAAAAGAGACUUAAUUAGAAGUGUUUGAGGAACUCCACAACUGAAAAACUAAAAGCACGAGAUGCAACUUGAACAUGAGAAAACCCUGCCUCUUUAGCCAGAGUUUUGAAUUCUCUCUCUGUUCUAUCCUUUCGCUUUGGAUUCAUGUUUGUAAAGAGCAAAUAUGUCUGUAGCACGCUUUUAUCUGCAGCAUUAGCUACAGUAGUUUCUGGAACUACCAAGUCCACUACUAUCACUUUUCCAUUACUUGGCAAAGCUUCAUAGCAAUUCUUUAACACUUUUAAGCAGGCUUGAUCAUCCCACAUGUGAAGUACCCACUGUUCAUUCAAAAUUAUAAGGCCAUUUCACUUAAAUGAUUUGACAUCCUACGGAUAAGAGAGAGCUACUAAUUAAACAAAUCUUUCUGCAUAUAUGAGAUCUAACCUUAAUGAAAAUGGCUUCUCCUUUUGGAACACUCACGAACAUAUCUCCCGCAACAUGCUCGAUACCUGCAAUAAGCUUUGUAUAAUUGAUUAAACUAUUUUUGGAAUUGAACAGGUUGUUAAUUAACAAACAAUUUAACGCUAUAGAAUAGGAUUCAGUUUCAAUAAAAUUUUGCUCAGUGCUACUGAUUAAGUCGUAUCUAGGAUUUCAAAAUCUUCUCGAGUUUGAGUCUCCCAAAGCCGAAUCAAUUACAAAAAAUUCAAUUAACUAAAUAAAAUACCUGUAUAAGAGGGCGAUUUUUCUAUAACUGAAGCCAAAUCAUAGUUGGUACCCUUAAUGGAAGGAUACUUGGAAACGAUCAUGUUAAGGAGAGAACCGUCUCCCCCUCCCACGUCCACCAAGGACUUUAGACCUUGAAAACCAUCAUAUAUGUCCAGAAUUCUAUGCAUCAGUAGAGUGUUAAAGUCUCUCAUGGAGCCCUUGAAUUUUUCACCAAAUCUCAUAUCUUUUCCCAUGUACUCCAUAACCCUCAUCCCGUGUGCCUUUUCAAAUGUACCACCUCCUUCAACAACUGCAUCUUUUAAGUGGUACCAAGUAUCCAGGAUGACUUUGUCGUGUAUCGUAGCUAGAAAGGGAGCCAAGCAUCCCCCAUCUUGGUCCUUGAUGAAGUAUUUGGCCACAGGUGCUAAACCAUAUAACCUAUUAAGCUGUCCAUCUUGGGUGCUGAAGGUUACAGAGCAAGUGAGAAUAGAAUUGCUAGCGAGAAGGAGGAGGAUACGGUCUAGCAAAAGGGGGGCCAUCUGGGCUGUUGGGGCAGCAAGCUGGGAGGCAAUUUGCGAAGAGGAAAGCAGGACGCCGGGACCAGCUUUCUCUAUAAUCUCAAACACGCCUAGAUCUGUUGCUGCCUUCAGGGCCAUGGGCAAUACUGAUGCACUGGCAAGUUGCAUGGCAUACUGGCAGUGGUAUUCUUCUUCUUCAACAUUGGUAGCUGUAGAGGUUGCCAUUUGGUUUUCCUUUGGAUUUCAUUUGGGUAAAUUUGGUUUCCUAUAAAAUGAUCAUCUAGUUCUAAGUUUGGGUGUACGUGGAAACAUGAGAUUGGAGUUCUGUUGCUUAAUCUAGCACGCCAUUGACUUUUUAACUCAGGUGACUAAUUUUCUA
rnacentral:misc_RNA from 1 species